GACAGAGGGGGCAAGCGUUGCUCGGAAUUACUGGGCGUAAAGGGCGCGUAGGCGGGAUGGCAAGUCGGUCGUGAAAACCCGAGGCUCAACUUCGGGCCUGCAUCCGAAACUGCCCGACUAGAGGUAGGUAGGGGAGAUCGGAAUUCCUGGUGUAGCGGUGAAAUGCGUAGAUAUCUGGAGGAACACCGGUGGCGAAGGCGGCAUCCUGGACCGACACUGACGCUGAGGAGCGAAAGCCAGGGGAGCAAACGGG
rnacentral:rRNA from 1 species